rnacentral:sRNA from 1 species
AUAAAAAUCACCAUACAAGAAAGUGGCUUCUGAGGUUCAUCACAAAUUCAGCAAAAACUCUUGUUCUGCUUUAACAUAAUGUUAGUCUUAUUCAUACACACAAGCAUAUAAAUAAAAAUGGGUGUGUUGGCAAAAUAGUCACUUUUUCAAACUUAAGUGGAAAAGUAGUCACUUUACUAUUCAUAAUUUGCAAAAUAGUCAUUUUUCACUGUUUGAUUCGUACACUUAGAUUGUACACCACUUUUAGUGUACAAAUGUAAAGUGUACGCUGUGUAUUUUUAUAUACAUUUGUACACUAAAAGUAGUGUACGAUGUAAGUGUAUGAAUCAAACAGUGAAAAGUAACUAUUUUACAAAUUAUGAAUAGUAAAAUGACUACUUUUCCAAUUAAGUUUACAAAGUAACUUAACUCA